rnacentral:rRNA from 1 species
AUUGAACGCUGGCGGCAGGCCUAACACAUGCAAGUCGAGCGGAUGAAGGGAGCUUGCUCCUGGAUUCAGCGGCGGACGGGUGAGUAAUGCCUAGGAAUCUGCCUGGUAGUGGGGGAUAACGUCCGGAAACGGGCGCUAAUACCGCAUACGUCCUGAGGGAGAAAGUGGGGGAUCUUCGGACCUCACGCUAUCAGAUGAGCCUAGGUCGGAUUAGCUAGUUGGUGGGGUAAAGGCCUAACAAGGCGACGAUCCGUAACUGGUCUGAGAGGAUGAUCAGUCACACUGGAACUGAGACACGGUCCAGACUCCUACGGGAGGCAGCAGUGGGGAAUAUUGGACAAUGGGCGAAAGCCUGAUCCAGCCAUGCCGCGUGUGUGAAGAAGGCCUUCGGAUUGUAAAGCACUUUAAGUUGGGAGGAAGGGCAGUAAGUUAAUACCUUGCUGUUUUGACGUUACCAACAGAAUAAGCACCGGCUAACUUCGUG